rnacentral:ncRNA from 1 species
CGACCCCAACUCAGGCGAGAACACCUGCUGAGUUUAAGCAUAUAAUUAAGCGGAGGAAAGGAAACUUACAAGGAUUCCCCUAGUAACGGCGAGCGAACCGGGAAGAGCCCAACAUGAAAAUCGGGUGGCAGCGUCGCCUGAAUUGUAGUCUGUAGAAGCAUCCUUAGCGGCAGACAGGGCCCAAGUCCCCUGGAAGGGGGCGCCUGAGAGGGUGACAGCCCCAUCGAUCCUGGACCCUGCCGCACCACAAGGCGUUGUCGGCGAGUCGGGUUGUUUGGGAAUGCAGCCCUAAUCGGGUGGUAAAUUUUGUCCAAUGCUAAAUAUGGGCGAGAGAUCGAUAGCGAACAAGUACCGCGAGGGAAAUAUGAAAAGGACUUUGAAAAGAGAGUUAAAGAGUGCUUGAAAUUGUCGGGAGGGAAGCGGAUGGAGGCCGACGAUGCGU